rnacentral:rRNA from 1 species
UACGUAGGGGGCAAGCGUUAUCCGGAUUUACUGGGUGUAAAGGGAGCGUAGACGGCACGGCAAGCCAGAUGUGAAAGCCCGGGGCUCAACCCUGGGACUGCAUUUGGAACUGCUGGGCUAGAGUGUCGGAGAGGCAAGUGGAAUUCCUAGUGUAGCGGUGAAAUGCGUAGAUAUUAGGAGGAACACCAGUGGCGAAGGCGGCUUGCUGGACGAUGACUGACGUUGAGGCUCGAAAGCGUGGGGAGCAAACAGG